rnacentral:rRNA from 17 species
CGAAAGCGUGGGGAGCAAACAGGAUUAGAUACCCUGGUAGUCCAUGCCGUAAACGAUGAUUACUAGGUGUUGGAGGAUUGACCCCUUCAGUGCCGCAGUUAACACAAUAAGUAAUCCACCUGGGGAGUACGACCGCAAGGUUGAAACUCAAAGGAAUUGACGGGGGCCCGCACAAGCAGUGGAGUAUGUGGUUUAAUUCGAAGCAACGCGAAGAACCUUACCAGGUCUUGACAUCCCGAUGACCGGUCCG